GACAGAGGGUGCAAACGUUGUUCGGAAUUACUGGGCGUAAGCGAGUGUAGGCGGUUCGAUAAGUCGGAUGUGAAAGCCCCCGGGCUCAACCCGGGAAGUGCACUCGAUACUGUCGAGCUAGAGUAUCGGAGAGGUUGGUGGAAUUCUCGGUGUAGAGGUGAAAUUCGUAGAUAUCGAGAGGAACACCGGUGGCGAAGGCGGCCAACUGGACGAAUACUGACGCUGAGACUCGAAAGCGUGGGGAGCAAACAGG
rnacentral:rRNA from 1 species